rnacentral:rRNA from 1 species
GUGAGGAAUAUUGGUCAAUGGAGGCAACUCUGAACCAGCCAUGCCGCGUGCAGGAAGACGGUCCUAUGGAUUGUAAACUGCUUUUAUUUAGGAAUAAACCCCCGGUCGUGCACCGGGGCUGAAUGUACUAAAAGAAUAAGCACCGGCUAACUCCGUGCCAGCAGCCGCGGUAAUACGGAGGGUGCAAGCGUUAUCCGGAAUCAUUGGGUUUAAAGGGUCCGCAGGCGGGUAAAUAAGUCAGAGGUGAAAUACGGCAGCUCAACUGUCGCACUGCCUUUGAUACUGUUUAACUUGAAUUUUAGUUGAGGGGGCGGAAUAUGUCAUGUAGCGGUGAAAUGCUUAGAUAUGACGUGGAACACCGAUAGCGAAGGCAGCUCACUAACUAUGAAUUGACGCUCAUGGACGAAAGCGUGGGUAGCAAACAGGAUUAGAAACCCGAGUAGUCC